GACGGAGGGUGCAAACGUUGUUCGGAAUCACUGGGCCUAAAGCGCACGUAGGCGGUCCGCUAAGUCAGUUGUGAAAUCCCUCGGCUCAACCGAGGAGCUGCACCUGAUACUGGCGGGCUCGAGAACGGUAGGGGUGAGUGGAACUCCAGGUGGAGCGGUGAAAUGCGUAGAUAUCUGGAGGAACACCGGUGGCGAAGGCGGCUCACUGGACCGUAUCUGACGCUGAGGUGCGAAAGCUAGGGUAGCAAACGGG
rnacentral:rRNA from 1 species